GACGAACGCUGGCGGCGUGCUUAACACAUGCAAGUCGAACGGAAAGGCCCUGCUUUUGUGGGGUGCUCGAGUGGCGAACGGGUGAGUAACACGUGAGUAACCUGCCCUUGACUUUGGGAUAACUUCAGGAAACUGGGGCUAAUACCGGAUAGGAGCUCCUGCUGCAUGGUGGGGGUUGGAAAGUUCCGGCGGUUGGGGAUGGACUCGCGGCUUAUCAGCUUGUUGGGGGGGUAGUGGCUUACCAAGGCUUUGACGGGUAGCCGGCCUGAGAGGGUGACCGGCCACAUUGGGACUGAGAUACGGCCCAGACUCCUACGGGAGGCAGCAGUGGGGAAUAUUGCACAAUGGGCGGAAGCCUGAUGCAGCAACGCCGCGUGCGGGAUGACGGCCUUCGGGUUGUAAACCGCUUUCGCCUGUGACGAAGCGUGAGUGACGGUAAUGGGUAAAGAAGCACCGGCUAACUACGUG
rnacentral:rRNA from 1 species